CCUACGGGGGGCAGCAGUGGGGGAUAUUGCACAAUGGGGGAAACCCUGAUGCAGCGACGCCGCGUGUGGGAAGACGGUCCUCUGGAUUGUAAACCACUGUCCCCAGGGACGAAGAUGACGGUACCUGGGGAGGAAGCUCCGGCCAACUACGUGCCAGCAGCCGCGGUAAUACGUAGGGAGCGAGCGUUGUCCGGAAUUACUGGGUGUAAGGGGAGCGUAGGCGGGACUGCAAGUUGGGUGUAAAAUCUACCGGCUCAACCGGUAGCCGCACUCAAAACUGCAGUUCUUGAGUGAAGUAGGGGCAGGCGGAAUUCCUAGUGUAGCGGUGAAAUGCGUAGAUAUUAGGAGGAACACCAGUGGCGAAGGCGGCCUGCUGGGCUUUUACUGACGCUGAGGCUCGAAAGUGUGGGGAGCAAACAGGAUUAGAUACCCUGGUAGUC
rnacentral:rRNA from 1 species